UCCCUGGUGGCUCAGAUGGUAAAGAAUCUGUCUGCCAUGUGGGAGACCCAGGUUCAAGCCCUGGCUCGGGAG
rnacentral:tRNA from 1 species